AGUUCUGUAAACAUGCAGAUUCACUGUUUGUUAGAUUUGUUCCGUUUUACGAAACCUUUUUGAGCAAACUCAACUGUAGGUGAAAGCCCUCUUCAAUACCAUCAUUUUGGCGGUGGUUUCACUUCGAUUGACCUCCUGAAACUGAAAUGGUUCACAGGUCAAGAUCUGGUCAGAUCUGACUUUGUCGAAUUAAACCAGGAGCUUGGGAACGAAUCUUUGAGUGAAACAAAUUGGGGGAUACUUAGUGGUGCCAUGGUGAUACCGAGAGAGGCAAUUGCUAAGUUAUGAUACUCUCAUACCUUAACUAGAUGCAAACGAUUCCGGAGAAGAAGAAGAAGUGGUUCGGACAAGGAUUUUAUUUAUAUUGACGGGAUUCUUAUAUUGAUGAAGUUGAAGAAGUCCAGGGACAAAUAAGCCAAGGCAAGCCAUCUUUUGAUCUCUGAUAUGAUGUCUCUUUGGAUGUCAUCUUGUGCUAUCAAUAGCAUCUUGGUUCUAUGUGUGAUGAUCUCCAUAUUGUUGUCAUCUAUGCUUGGAUGCAAGCAUGGUACCUCUAGUAGUUUUAUCUUGUCAAGGUCUUGGUAAUUGGUUGGGUGUAUGGUAUCAUGGCCAUUGCUAUCCAACUUGCUUGCUAUAUUUAGCUUGAAUAUGUUCCACCUCGGGACAAGAUUCAUACUACACCCCCUUCUAGUGUAGAUGUAUCAAUACCAUGUUUUUGGUGUAUUCUCAAAUUGUGAUGAGUAUGCCUAUUUUCCCUUAAUGGUGUUGGUGUUGGUCAAUUCUCAUCCCUAUCUAUCUAUUGAUUGGGUUAGAUAGCACCACAAAUCUGAAAGUAUAUUUCCUCUUGUGUUGUCAUAAUACAUGCUUAGCUCAAGCAAGUAUGAUCCACUCCAAUACCUCUUUUUCAUACCCUCAAUGGCGUGAUGACCCUCAUCUCGGCCAUAGUGUUGUAUUAGUUCAACUCAUGAAACUUUAGAUUGGG